rnacentral:rRNA from 1 species
UAUCAUUAACUGAAUCCAUAGGUUAAUGAGGCGAACCGGGGGAACUGAAACAUCUAAGUACCCCGAGGAAAAGAAAUCAACCGAGAUUCCCCCAGUAGCGGCGAGCGAACGGGGAGGAGCCCAGAGCCUGAAUCAGCAUGUGUGUUAGUGGAAGCGUCUGGAAAGGCGCGCGAUACAGGGUGACAGCCCCGUACACAAAAGCGCAUGUGCUGUGAGCUCGAUGAGUAGGGCGGGACACGUGGUAUCCUGUCUGAAUAUGGGGGGACCAUCCUCCAAGGCUAAAUACUCCUGACUGACCGAUAGUGAACCAGUACCGUGAGGGAAAGGCGAAAAGAACCCCGGCGAGGGGAGUGAAAAAGAACCUGAAACCGUGUACGUACAAGCAGUGGGAGCACAGGUUUACCUGUGUGACUGCGUACCUUUUGUAUAAUGGGUCAGCGACUUAUAUUCUGUAGCAAGGUUAACCGAAUAGGGGAGCCGGAGGGAAACCGAGUCUUAAUUGGGCGUUAAGUUGCAGGGUAUAGACCCGAAACCCGGUGAUCUAGCCAUGGGCAGGUUGAAGGUUGGGUAACACUAACUGGAGGACCGAACCGACUAAUGUUGAAAAAUUAGCGGAUGACCUGUGGCUGGGGGUGAAAGGCCAAUCAAACCGGGAGAUAGCUGGUUCUCCCCGAAAGCUAUUUAGGUAGCGCCUCGUGAAUUCAUCUCCGGGGGUAGAGCACUGUUUCGGCUAGGGGGCCAUCCCGGCUUACCAACCCGAUGCAAACUGCGAAUACCGGAGAAUGUUAUCACGGGAGACACACGGCGGGUGCUAACGUCCGUCGUGAAGAGGGAAACAACCCAGACCGCCAGCUAAGGUCCCAAAGUCAUGGUUAAGUGGGAAACGAUGUGGGAAGGCCCAGACAGCCAGGAUGUUGGCUUAGAAGCAGCCAUCAUUUAAAGAAAGCGUAAUAGCUCACUGGUCGAGUCGGCCUGCGCGGAAGAUGUAACGGGGCUAAACCAUG